CUCAUGUGAAUGGGCAUGGAGAACAUCUCAUUUUUUUUCCCUAGUAGAAGAGAACACCUCCUGUUGAGAGACAUUUUUCCUUGAUUAUAUUUUCAUUUUUGAAGAGGGACGGAAAAGGCGUACUCUUCGUCCGUCCGUUUUUCUUCGUCUGAAAACCUAGAAACGAGCCUAUUGCCAGACGCACUUCUGCAUUCGCCGGAGAAAAUCGCCGCCGCCAGGCAAACAAAAAGGAAAAUCCAAUCCUUUUGCAUGUGCUUUCUUAUUAAGGAUGAAGCGAGGGUAUGAAGAAUCUGCUUCAACCUCUGUUGGUCCUCCUCAAUCAAGGCGUAGAUUCGAUACUCUUGGCGAUGCCCAGUUUUUCUCAGAGGAGGAUGAAAGCACAAAGAAUCUUGCACAAAAGGUGGCUGACCAUUACAGUGCAAGGACAAAUCAAACUCUAGAGGAAUGGGAAGCUAGUCCUAUUAUCCAUUUAAAGAAACUAAACAAUUGGAUUAAAAGUGUUCUCAUCCAGCUGUAUGCUUGCCGGGCAGAUUUUGUUCUAGAUCUUGCUUGUGGGAAGGGUGGUGAUUUGAUCAAAUGGGACAAGGCGAAGGUUGGAUAUUAUGUUGGCAUUGAUAUAGCUGAAGGCUCGAUAGAAGACUGUCGCACACGCUAUAAUGGUGAUGCAGACCACCACCAACGUCGCAAAAAGUUUACAUUCCCAGCACGACUUAUACGUGGAGAUUGUUUCGAGGUACGCUUGGAUAAAGUUCUGGAAGAUGAUGCACCAUUUGACAUUUGCAGCUGUCAGUUUGCCAUGCACUACUCAUGGUCUACAGAGGUGCGUGCAAGACGAGCAUUGGCCAAUGUAUCGGCAUUACUGCGUCCAGGAGGCAUCUUCAUUGGAACAAUGCCAGAUGCAAAUGUUAUCAUCAAAAAGCUUAGGGAAGCGGAAGGGCUUGCAUUUGGGAACAGCGUAUACUGGAUUCGUUUUGAUGAUGAAUAUGCUCAAAAGAAAUUUAAAGCUUCUAGCCCCUUUGGUAUCAAGUACAAAUUCCACUUAGAGGAUGCUGUUGAUUGUCCGGAAUGGAUUGUUCCUUUCAAUGUCUUCAAGGCAUUGGCAGAGGAGUAUGAGCUGGAGCUUGUUUUCGUGAAGAACUCCCAUGAAUUUGUGGAUGAGUACUUGAAAAAACCAGAAUUUGCUGAGCUUAUGCGGAGGCUUGGUGCCUUGGGUGAUGGAAACCAGGACCUGAGUGAGUUAAUUUAAUCUCUUUUCUUCUGCAGCUCUUUCAUUCUUGUGGUAAAGCACUUCCUGGUCUAGAUUCCAGACAUGUGUUCCUGGUAGUGCUGUUGGAGGCACGCUGUCAGAGGAUGAGUGGGAGGUUGCUUAUUUGUAUUUGGCAUUUGUCUUGAGAAAGCGGGGUGGUCAACCAGAUGGCAACCGCAGGAGCAACAAUAAUAGAGGAAACAGAGGGCAGGUGCAUAUAUCA